rnacentral:ncRNA from 1 species
CAUAAAUGCAUGAAUAGCGAACAGGUGAGUAACGCGUAAGAACCUGCCCUUGGGAGGGGAACAACAACUGGAAAUGGUUCCUAAUACCCCGUAGGCUGAGGAGCAAAAGGAGAAAUCCGCCCAAGGAGGGGCUCGCGUCUGAUUAGCUAGUUGGUGAGGUAAUAGCUUACCAAGGCGAUGAUCAGUAGCUGGUCCGAGAGGAUGAUCAGCCACACUGGGACUGAGACACGGCCCAGACUCCUACGGGAGGCAGCAGUGGGGAAUUUUCCGCAAUGGGCGNN